rnacentral:rRNA from 1 species
GCUAGCGGCAGGCCUAACACAUGCAAGUCGAGGGGUAACAGGAAAGCUUGCUUUCGCUGACGACCGGCGCACGGGUGCGUAACGCGUAUGCAACCUACCUCAUACUGGAGAAUAGCCCCUGGAAACGGGGAUUAAUACUCCAUAGUAUCAUUCUUUCGCAUGUUUGAAUGAUUAAAGAAUUUCGGUAUGAGAUGGGCAUGCGUCCCAUUAGCUAGUUGGUGAGGUAACGGCUCACCAAGGCUACGAUGGGUAGGGGGCCUGAGAGGGUGGUCCCCCACACUGGUACUGAGACACGGACCAGACUCCUACGGGAGGCAGCAGUGAGGAAUAUUGGUCAAUGGAGGCAACUCUGAACCAGCCAUGCCGCGUGAAGGAUGACGGCCCUAUGGGUUGUAAACUUCUUUUGAAUAGGAAGAAACUUAUCUACGUGUAGAUAACUGACGGUACUAUUAGAAUAAGGAUCGGCUAACUCCGUGCCA